AAAAAACCAUCUACUUCAUAUUUAUCUUUUUAAAUCAAAGAUGAUUUUUGUCUUGAUAUGUUGCUACAGCCCAAAGUAAUUCAUUUCCUUCCCACGCUGAAUUAUGUGUGAUCUGUUGAGAACAAAUGAAUAACAUUUCAAUCUGCGGGGUGGGGGUAGAGGUACUUGGUAUCUUAUCAGGAAUUCCUUUCUCACUGUAACACACAAACUCAUUAUCAUCCGGGACCUUAAAGUGAUUAACUUUGGGCAAAGAGUGGAAUUUCCCAUUUGCUAAUGAAAAUACUAAUGAGUUAUUUCUAAGGCGUUAAAUUGGUACACAUUUUCCCCCUUAAAUAGCAUUGGGUUGGGGGUACAUACAUGAGUGGACAGAAGUAAAGAAAAAUCUUCGUCUUGGAUCAGUCACAAUAGCAUAAUGAGAACUUACACAGAGCUGUGAAGUGAAAAAAAAAAAAAAGUUUCCCUUAUGCUGAAGAAUUUAAUGGAAAAACGAAAUCCUCUCAGGAAAUGGAUUUCUCACUCUGACAUUCCUCAUCAGCUGCUGAGUCUGAGACAGGCACUUAAGCCAAAGGUUCAAGUCCCAAUGACCACCCCUUCCUCACACCCCACAGCCUGUACUGGAAGCUCUAUUUAGGAGCCACUCAAAGACCUCACCUCGAGUACCCAGGGCUGAAGGCCCUGUAGAACCUGUUCCUUCUGUGCUCUCUGCACUGCCACACGCCCUGUCACUCAGGCCAAAACACUGGUCCCUCCAGAUUCGUCCCUCCCUUUUCCUCACCACCAAGCCAGUCACACACUGCACCCCAAAGGAGUGGCCUCCACAGAUUCUCCCAGACGGCUCCAGACUACCAUUCUUCUCACUAAACAGCACUGCCUCAGGUCCUCAUCAGUUCCCACCCUGACUUUUGCAGAGGUCUUGCCACAGGUCUCUCCAGACUGUCUCCCUCAAAUCCCUUCUUCCUUAGUUCCCCUUCCCAUCCCAAAUGCAAACCCAACCAUGGCUCUCUUACUCAAUAAAACUGCCCAGUCUCUUGCUGUCAGAUGCUGUUGGCUGUGUCUCCCUUCAAUCUUUGGGCAUGGCCAUCACUGCCGCCCACAGCCUGCAGCCCAUGCCCCUCUCCAGCCUCAUCGCUCUCCACUGCUUCCUCACAACAGAUGCUCC
rnacentral:lncRNA from 1 species